UGGCGGCAGGCCUAACACAUGCGAGUCGAGCGGUAACAUUUCUAGCUUGCUAGAAGAUGACGAGCGGCGGACGGGUGAGUAACGCGUAGAAAUCUACCUAGUAGUGGGGAUAGCCCAGAGAAAUUUGGAUUAAUACCGCAUACGCCCUACGGGGAAAGCGGGGGAUCUUCGGACCUCGUGCUAUUAGAUGAGUCUGCGUCGGAUUAGCUUGUUGGUGAGGUAAUGGCUCACCAAGGCGACGAUCCGUAGCUGGUCUGAGAGGAUGACCAGCCACACUGGAACUGAGACACGGUCCAGACUCCUACGGGAGGCAGCAGUGGGGAAUAUUGCACAAUGGGCGCAAGCCUGAUGCAGCCAUGCCGCGUGUGUGAAGAAGGCCUUAGGGUUGUAAAGCACUUUCAGCAGUGAGGAAAGGGGUGUCGUUAAUAGCGCCAUCCUGUGACGUUAACUGCAGAAGAAGGACCGGCUAACUCCGUG
rnacentral:rRNA from 1 species